CUAACAAGGAUUCCCUUAGUAACUGCGAGUGAAGUGGGAAAAGCUCAAAUUUAAAAUCUGGCAGUCCUUUUGGCUGUCCGAGUUGUAAUCUAGAGAAGCAUUAUCUGUGCUGAAUCCAUGUAUAAGUCUCCUGGAAUGGAGUGUCAUAGAGGGUGAGAAUCCCGUCUUUGACAUGGACUAUCAGUGCAUUGUGAUAUGCUCUCAAAGAGUCGAGUUGUUUGGGAAUGCAGCUCUAAAUGGGUGGUAAAUUCCAUCUAAAGCUAAAUAUUGGCGAGAGACCGAUAGCGAACAAGUACCGUGAGGGAAAGAUGAAAAGAACUUUGGAAAGAGAGUUAAACAGUAUGUGAAAUUGUUGAAAGGGAAACGCUUAAAGUCAGUCACAUUGAUCAGGGAUCAACCUUGCUUUUUGCUUGGUGCAUUUUCUGAUCAAUGGGUCAGCAUCAAUUUUGACCAGUGGAAAAAGGCUGAGGGAAUGUGGCAUCUUUUGAUGUGUUAUAGCUCUCUGUCAUAUACAUUGGUUGGGAUUGAGGAAUUCAGCAUGCCGCAAGGCCGGGUUUUAACCACGUUCAUGCUUAGGAUGCUGGCAUAAUGACUUUAAUCGACCCGU
rnacentral:rRNA from 1 species